rnacentral:sRNA from 1 species
AGCAGCCGCGGUAAUUCCAGCUCCAAUAGCGUAUAUUAAAGUUGUUGCAGUUAAAAAGCUCGUAGUUGAAUUUCGGGGUCAGUAGGUCGGUCGUGCCACAGGUAUGCACUGGUCUCACUGAUUCCUCCUUCCUGAUGAACCGGAAUGCCAUUAAUUUGGUGUUGCGGGGAGACUGGACUGUUACUUUGAAAAAAUUAGAGUGUUUAAAGCAGGCUAACGCUUGAAUACAUUAGCAUGGAAUAACGGAAUAGGACGUUCGAUCUUAUUUUGUUGGUUUCUAAGAUUGACGUAAUGAUUAAUAGGGAUAGUUGGGGGCAUUAGUAUUCAAUUGUCAGAGGUGAAAUUCUUGGAUUUAUUGAAGACUAACUACUGCGAAAGCAUUUGCCAAGGAUGUUUUCAUUAAUCAAGAACGAAAGUUAGGGGAUCGAAGACGAUCAGAUACCGUCGUAGUCUUAACCAUAAACUAUGCCGACUAGGGAUCGGAUGAUGUUAAUUUUUUAAUGACUCAUUCGGCGCCUUA